AUACGGAGGGGACAAGCGUUGUUCGGAAUUACUGGGCGUAAAGCGCGUGUAGGCGGUGUCGCAAGUCGGGUGUGAAAUCCCUCGGCUCAACCGAGGAACUGCGCACGAAACUGCGACACUAGAGUACGGGAGAGGGAUGUGGAAUUCCUGGUGUAGAGGUGAAAUUCGUAGAUAUCAGGAGGAACACCCGUGGCGAAGGCGACGUCCUGGACCGAUACUGACGCUGAGACGCGAAAGCGUGGGGAGCAAACAGGAUUAGAAACCCUAGUAGUCC
rnacentral:rRNA from 1 species